rnacentral:rRNA from 1 species
CCCUUAGAUGUUCUGGGCAGCACGCGCGCUACAAUGGUCUUCGCAAACGGAUGCAUUCUCGAAGGAGAAUGCCAAUCUUGGAAUCUAUGCCUUGGUCGGGACAGUUGCUUGCAAUUUUUCGACUCGAACCAGGAAUUCCUUGUAAUCGUGAUUCAUCACAUCAAGAUGAAUACGUCCCUGCCCUUUGUACACACCGCCCGUCGCUCCUACCGAUCGAAGAGUUAGGUGAAUUGUUUUGAUCGAUAAGAUUUGACUAUGGUCAACUCUCGUUGUGAAAUUCUGUGAAUCUGACUGUUUAGAGGAAGGAAAAGUCGUAACA